CACGAAGUUAGCCGGGGCUUCUUCUCCGGAUACCGUCAUUAUCUUCUCCGGUGAAAGAGCUUUACAACCCUAAGGCCUUCAUCACUCACGCGGCAUGGCUAGAUCAGGCUUGCGCCCAUUGUCCAAUAUUCCCCA
rnacentral:rRNA from 1 species